CAAAAACCAGAGAUUACAACAGUAGUAAGGAAAAUCAGAAUGAGAGUGAAAAUCAGCAGGCACCACUCAAUUUAAUCAUGAACACUCUCACAACUAUGCAAAGGCAGAUAAAUGAUCUCGCACAAAAAGAGAAUGUGCCAAUCAAUGUGAACGUAUCAUCAGCUCACUUGAAGGACAGAGAUAAGGAAGAGAAAAACGAGAAUGUUGAGAUUGGGACCAAAGGGAGUGGUGUCAUUAUAAAAAGAAGUCAGUGGUCCGAUGCUGCUGCACAGGCUACUCCAACUUCGAUGGCAACUUGCUUGGUUGACGCUCUUUUCUCCAAAAACAUUUUAUUAAUUAGUAACUUGAAGGGCGGUGCACGUAAAGUGAAAGUUGAAAUUGGGAUGGAAGAACCAUAAAGACACCAAGCUCUUGAUAAGAAAAUUAUGAAGGCGAUUUAUGAUACUGUGGAAACGCAUCACCCAAAGAAAUUCCAUUACGCAUUGACGGGAAAAGCAAUUAACGAUCAUCUUAAUUAUCUCCGUCUCCAGAAAGAGAAAAAUGAUAAACUAGAGAAAACAUUGAUUGAAAUGGAGCAACGAAGACGAUCAAAGGAAACCCCUGACGAAUCAGGGUAGAGUUAGAUGAUAACCUCCUCCUCGCACGUAUCAUGGAUUACUUGACAAUACUGAGUUGUCACUGCUAAAGCCAAAAAAUGAAGGAACCGUUGAAGAAGAAAGAGUGGAAGAAACAGUUAUAUUAAACACGAGAUUUGAGAAGGAGAAGGAGAACGUGAUGUUAAAUUUUGAGUGUUUUUUUUUUGUUUACUGAAAUAUUCUCAUAUAUUCAUCGUUGGAAAAAAAUACGAAGUUUAUUAAUCUGUUUAACAAGCCAUACGAAAAACUUGAGAAUAUUUGAAAAAUUCUUUUAGAGACAGAAGAGUGAGGCAAAGUGGGACGUCUCCAAUCAUCCAUUUCUGGAGAUCAGCAGACUCAAAUUCAAUCUUUUUUUUCUUUAUUUCACAGCUCAAAAAAGGAGUCAUGAUUUGAAAUAAAAGAUGAUUGAAUUCCACUUUGCUGAUCGCAAGUUUUUGCCCCCCUCUUUCCUGCGUGGAGAGAAACAUGACUAUUUGCUCUAUAUUACUUUUUUCAUCAGUUUUUCAUGAUAAAUAUGUAAUAGGAGCUAUGAUUACCGAACAACUUGUGAAUUGGAUUUGAAAAUGAUAUCACGAAUGUCAUCAAUCCAGUGUUCCAUCCGUUAAUAUUAAGUUUAUAAUAGUUUGAAGAGUAUAUGACGUGCUAUGAAUUAUUAUUUUUGUUCCUGGUAGAACUUAUCAAAUAUUAUUGAUAAGAUUUUAUGUUCAUUAUGUUGUUUGAUUUAAGUAAGUCAUAUUUCGUGCUUUCACAUUCGUAAUUAUU